AGCUUUGCGCAGUGGCAGUAUCGUAGCCAAUGAAGUUUAUCCGAGGCGCGAUUAUUGCUAAUUGAAAACUCUUAUCCCAAGGGAUGUAGGGCCCACUGACAAGAGGACCCUUUGGGU
rnacentral:snRNA from 1 species